UGAGGAACAUGACCUUCGGCGGGGGAUAGCCGGCCCAACGGCCGGGUAAUACCGCGUACGACCUUUCGGGGACAUCCUCGGAUGGUGAAAGCAGCAAUGCGCCGAUGGAGUGCCUCGCGGCCUAUCAGCUAGUUGGUGAGGUAAUAGCUCACCAAGGCGAUGACGGGUAGCCGGCCUGAGAGGGUGACCGGCCACACGUGGGACUGAGACACGGCCCAGACUCCGUACGGGAGNAGCG
rnacentral:rRNA from 1 species